AAUCGGCUUAGUCGAAUAAAGUUCUAGAUAGAAUAGUGAUUAUGACAAUUUUCUAUCUAAAUGUCUUGACCAAGUCACGUGCCAGCAGUCGCGGUAAUACGUGGAAGACUAGUGUUAUUCAUCUUUAAUAGGUUUAAAGGGUACCUAGACGGUAUUUCUAGCCCCAAAAGGGUACGGAUUUACUAGAGUUUUAUGUGAGAGGCAAAUAUUAGUACUAUUGGAGUAGAGAUGAAAUUCUUUGAUACUAGUAGGACUGAUGGCGGCGAAAGCAACCCUCUAAGUAUAAACUGACGUUGAGGGACGAAGGCUUGGGUAGCGAACAGGAUUAGAUACCCUAGUAGUCCAGGCAGAAAAUUAUGAGUGCCAUAGACUAGAUAAUUUUGGUCUAUAAAUGAAAGUGUAAGCAUUCCACCUCAAGAGUAAUGUGGCAACGCAGGAACUGAAAUCAUUAGACCGUUUCUGAAACCAGUAGUGAAGUAUGUUAUUUAAUUCGAUAACCCUCGAAAAACCUUACCACAAUUUGAAUGUAAUACAUGUAGUAGUCUAAUAAUUGUCUCUUUAACAAUUACAUGUAUUAACACAAGCGUUGCACGGCUGUCUUCAGUUAAUGUCGUGAGAAUUUGGUUAGAUCCAUUAAAUUAACGUAAUCCCUUUCGUUAGUUCUCUUAACUAACGAAGUUCACCGCUAUAU
rnacentral:rRNA from 1 species